CAGUAGCCACGGUAAUACGAAGGGGGCUAGCGUUGUUCGGAUUUACUGGGCGUAAAGGGCGCGUAGGCGGACUGAUAAGUCAGGGGUGAAAUCCCAAGGCUCAACCUUGGAACUGCCUUUGAUACUGUUUGUCUUGAGUUCGAGAGAGGUAAGUGGAACUGCGAGUGUAGAGGUGAAAUUCGUAGAUAUUCGCAAGAACACCAGUGGCGAAGGCGGCUUACUGGCUCGAAACUGACGCUGAGGCGCGAAAGCGUGGGGAGCAAACAGGAUUAGAGACCCCAGUAGUCCCUGUCUCUUAUAC
rnacentral:rRNA from 1 species